CAUACCCGGGGGCAGGGGGGGGCCGUGGCCCCCCCCUAGCUUUCAGGGAAGGAAAAAAAAUAGUGUAGUCAGGUGCUUUACUUUAAAGAAAAUUAUUUAAAUUCGGUAUUAUGUAGAAGUGGUUCAACACGAAGAUAUUAUUGUAUAUCGUUUUUUACAUGUCUGCUUCAUUUUUUAUGUUAGUUCAAGCAUUAGUUUCUGCCGCUGCGAUAUAAGGUGUUGUGUACAGGGAGAAAACGCUGUUCAAGCGCAACGCCCGUGGCGAGUCAUUCCCCUUCGUAAUGCUACCCAAGCUCACGCGAUAACACAACACAACAGAUUUAGAACAGUCAGAGUUUAGACGACGCGACAGUUGACACGUGCUUGUAGACGGCGAAAUGUUUUGCUACUUUUUCGUCAUAAUGUGUAUGUUCACAAAUAACAUCUCAAAACAGAGAUUUUUCAAUAGUCUUUAGGUCUACAGUUUUAUGCAUCUGGUCUAGAUUUAGUUUAGUGUAUUCAGUCAGUAUAAAUAACUUAAGUGUAAAUAAAUCAGUGAAAGUGUUAUUAUGUAGUGUUUCUUAGAUUUCCUCAUUCGUCACAUCCGUUCAGAUUAUUCACAAUUUUUAAGGUAAGCUAACACCUUUAAAGUUACUCAAAUAAGAAUUAUUGUCCAGAAAAGUCUACAACGUAAAAUUUAUGUUGGAAUUUUGAAUUUGAGGAAAACCACUUUUUCCCUUCAAAAGUGUUUAAAGGGAUAAGGAUUCCGCUACCUUCAGUAGACUCGUAAGCAAUUUACACUAGAAUCUCGAUUUUACGUACGCUCACGGUCGCUUGGAUUGCAUUCGUAAAAUCGUUAUCUUCAUAAAAUUUUAAACACCCCACCCCGUGAAGAUACAUGUUAUAAUUUAUUGAACGGAAUAUAUAUAAUAUUAAAUAGUAAAAACAAGACUGCCAUCUGCCCUCUGCCCUCCCUUGCGUUCCCCUUAUUUUUUUUUAACAUUCCACAACUUGCCUCAUUGCAUAGUGACAUCACAGCGACUAAACACAGUUGCACCACGCAUUGCAUCAUGUUAACUUUUGUGUGGUGACAGUAGGUUGUCCGACAUGCCUUUCUUGGAUAUCUUUCCUUUUCGUAAGACGCGUGCUACUAAAAUAAAUUUAUAUUUGAGUUUGCAAACUUGUUCACUCCUUGCCAGAGACAACUGAAAACAGACGAGACUUUCCAGGGUUAGGUUGAUGAGCUGGAAGAAUUCCCUGCCUUGCAUUUUUAUGGACUUCACCUUAUCAUAUUUAUCAGUUAAUCUUUAACAGAUAGGCUUGAAGAAUAUGAAUGAACGCACUUUUAGUAACAUAAUCGAGGAGAUCAAGCACACAGUUCAGUGUACACCUGUACUGUUUCAUAAAAGUGAUCAUAGGUAGGGACUGAAAAAAUUCGCGGUUUCAAUGACCACUCGGAUAGACUCCACGAUUCUCUAUGUACUCGGGCAACUAUCACCUGGUCAUUGGCUACCGACUCGGGACACCUGUUUAUUGCGAUUCUUAUGAUUCGAUACUUCUUUAGUUGAGUCUUUGCCAUUGGCCUAGAGUCCUUCAGGUAAAUUGCGGUCCAAUCACUGACGCAGCAUUAAGCUAAAUGAGUUUGGAUUCCAGCCUGUCUUGAAAGGAAUCCGCGAAUUUUUACUGUCUCUAAUCAUAGGCUUAUUUGGUGAAGAAAAACGCUGCUCUGUAACGACAGACAUUCAUUAAAAACACAGUACAUUUUAGUGCGAGAAGCCCUUGAAUUUGUGAUAGCCACAGGGAAUUAUUUGUUUGUAUAGUAAGUUAAAAAAAACUUAGUUGAAAAUUCGCUCGUCACGUCUACUUGCUGUCAGUUAUACCAUUUUUGAGCGUUUUUUACUGGGAAACCGAUGCAGCGAAGGUAAUGAAUGCGACACAUGUCAAGAUAAUGCCUAAUGGCAUGGGUUGUUGGAUAUUAGCGGAAAGGAGAGGAAGUAGCUACUCAAUAUCGUUUCUUUCUCUCACGCUUCACAAGGUUUCAAGCUCAGUUGCUAUGCUCACGAGCUGGAAAUGUUGGAAUGACUAAAGACUGCUCAAAUGUGAAAGUCACAGGGACAAGGUUCAAAUUACAUUAUGGACAGUGAACUACAAGGAAAGCACUUAUGGUACAGCUUGACAUCGUCCGGGCCUGCGGGCCCUUUUUGAGUCCGAUAUGCCACCGCCCAAACACCACCAUCUCUGUUCAAACCUCCCACUUGCGCGUGCGUGUGUGUGUGUGUUGAUCGCCCGGCAAGAGGGCGCUGUCGAGCCAGUGCACCGCACCCCUAAAUAUAAUUGAAUUCAACAGUGUAAAUUGUUUUAUUGUUCCCCGAGUGUGACGUGACGGCUGAUCGGCCAGGAGGUUUUUAUGUACUUUUAUUUAAAAUUGUGUAAUUAAAUAUAAGGGCGUUUCCGGACAUUCCUGAAGCACACCGAACGAAACGGAAGCCAGACACUGUUUAAAUAUAUUCUUUAAUAAUUGUAAUUUUUAUUAUCCUUUUUUUUUAUAUUCAGUAAAUAUUAUGUAAUUUUUUAAGAAUCCUUUUCAUGUUGGUUUAGUUUCCCGUGGCACGAAAUCAGAAAUACCAUUAACGGCAAUUGUUUCGGCGGGAGGACGCCAUGUUAGUCGAGCCGAGCCAUGAGCUCAACCCAGUCUUCCGCCAUCAACGACCGAGAGCAGACGCUUCAGCACUCCGGGGACCUCACCGCUUGUUCAUCACUGCUUAGUAAUACUGUUCAUCUUUAAUUCUUUUCAAAUAUUUUUUCGUUUAGUCCUCGGAGCUUCUUUCGGUCGGGGGACUGCUUAAAUAAUUACCUUGUGACCAUUAUCAGUCUUUUCUCAAACUUUAUGCGUAAGUCAAGGUGUGACCACGUGGUUGGUCACUGCACUUAAACUGAUUCGUGCCGCGGGCGUUUGUUACAGUUUAAAUUGUAUGCGUGUGUAAUCGGAUUGGCCGAAUAAAUAAGGGCAUGUAAAUUUAAA